CCGCCCUCGCACGCGAAGCUCCCAGCUAGCUUCACUACAGAAAAUGACUGAGCGGCGAACGGGUGAGUAACGCGUGAGCAACUCUACCUUACCUUACAGGCAUAGCCCGCAGGCAAACCCGCGAUUAAUACCUGAUAUUCUUUAUUUCUCGCAUGAGCAAUAACAAGGAAAGGUCAGCCGAACUAAGAUGAGCUCGCGUUCUAUCAGCUAGUUGGUGAGGUAAAAGCUUACCAAGGCCUACGCACGGACUAGCCUGGCUCUGCAGAGCGACGACUCAGCCCACCACUGGCGACCUGAGCACACGCGCCCAGCACUCCCUACGGCGAGGCUGCAGCAGGGAAUAUUGCUGCAAUGAACGAAAGUCUGACACAGCGACACCGCGUGUGGGAUGACGGAUCUAGGCUUGUAAACCACUUUCAGGAGGGAAGAAAAUGACGGUACCUCCACAAGAAGCCCCGCGCCAACUACGUGCCAGCAGCCCGCGGUAAUACGUAGCGGGGCGAGCGUUGUCCGGAUUUAUUGGGCGUAAAGAGCUCGCUAGGCGGUUCAACAAGUCGGUCGUGAAAGUUCAGGGCUCAACCCCUGAAAUGUCGAUCGAUACUGUCGCUGACUAGGAUACGGCAGAGGUGAGUGGAAUCCCGAGUGUAGCACUGAAACGCGUACACUAUCGGACGAACACCACAGCGAAGGCGAUCACGCGCCGCUCUCACGCUGACGACGAAGCUAGGGACCAACGGAU
rnacentral:rRNA from 1 species